UAGGCUAGAAAGAGGUUGGGGA
rnacentral:miRNA from 1 species